CGGCUACAUUACGUUGAAACACCGGUUGCAGUACGAUCAUCGAAGUUAAGCAACGUUGAGUUUGGUCAGUACCUAGAUGGGUAACCGUUUGGGAAUACCAGGUGCUGUAA